ACACUGAUGGUGAAGCGGUUAUCAUGCUUGCCUUCCAUUUGGAGGUAGCAAGCGGCAGGGGUUCGACUCCCCUUCAGUGUA